rnacentral:rRNA from 1 species
GGGAGGUCCGACUGUUUAAUAAAAACGUAACUAACUGCAAGCCUGUAAAGGUUAGUAUAGUUGGUGACGUCUGCCCAGUGCCAGGAUCUGAAACUUGGUUUCAACUGAGCUAAGGACUGGUAAACGGCGGGAAUAACUAUAAUUCUCUUAAGGU